GCCGAAACUCAGCUGCUCGGAUCGCCCGUGGCCGAGGAAGGACGAGGGGUCUGUGUCGCUGUGUGCGAGCUGGCCCGGCGUCCCCGCAGAAAUAGCGAAGGUGAAGAGCUGAAGUGAAAUAUUUGGAGUUAGCCCAGAGCAGGUGUACAUACGUAUGAUGUGCCAGGACCUCAAGUCAGGCUGUCACAUACACCCUUUUGCCUACUGGGAACAUGAAUGGUAGUCUCAUAAAAUUUGAAGACAAGAUUUAUGGCAUUCUACAGAAAAUCUCUCCUGAAAGAAACAACCUCUGUGCUAUUGUUGAACUAUGCAAAUACUUCUCACCAGGUACACUCUAACAACCAGCCUUAGGAAGAAAUCUGAUAUGCAGUUACUCACUGUGAUGAUGUUUUUUUCCUGAAUGUGUUGUGCUCUUCUGCAGGUAGAGAGGCUAUUCACAGUAUGUAUACUGUGCCUGUUAGUCUGCAUCUGUUUGGUUGACUAAGGUUCACAGACUAUAUAACCAAUCUCCCUGAUCAUGGGAAAGUUCAUUUUACAAUUUUAUGAGCAGUACUCGGUUUACUUACUGCAGAAGGCAAAGAAUGAGUAACUGGAAUGUACGCUGCUGAAAAAGCAGUUCAAGGGUGGAGUGUCUGUUUCUCAGGCAGUCUUACAAAAUAUGCCUUACCUCCUCACUGCAAAUUUUAUGAGGCCCGAACUGCCCUUCUCUCCUUAGUGCCUUCACACACAUUCGUGCAGCAGGUGAUUCUGAGCACCUUUUGGGUUUGUGGGCUGGGGAAGUGAAAAUGUAAAAGAAUGAUUUCUACCAGUCUGAGGUAAAAGGAGCUUCUCAAUUAUGAAGUGCCUUCAUAGCAGUCAUUUUUUUAGGAGACAGAGCAAAGUUUCCUCUUGCCUCAUUACUGAUACACCUGCUGUUCCUCAUUUCAGCUGAUCACGUUAACAGACAUCUCACUGCUUGCAAGGUAUGUCCAAACUCUUAAUCCUCAUGACUUUAGCUGGCCAAUUUACAUAUCAAAGGAGAUAAAAUAGAUAUUUGAUUAUCUGCUCCCCUCCUUUCCUGCUGACCACAGUUUAACAGUACAGAUUGGAUCAAUCUAUCCCUUUCAGUGCUAUGAAUCAGGGUGCUGUUAAUUUUUUCUCUUUCCUGGGUUGCUAUAAGAGCUGCAUAUUGGAUGGGUAGUGCCUUUCUGUUGUCAGGAAGAGCUGGUAAAACCUGCUCAGCUCAUCCCAGAGGUCAUCAUACUUGACAGGAAAGCAACAGAACAGUUGAAGUUAUUUCUUUACAGCCCUCUUCUUACUUAGAGCUGAAAGGCAGCAAGAGAGUGACCAAGCAUAUUCUGCUUUUUAGAAGAGCUCAUGCUUGAUGCUUUACCUGGGAUCAUGGAGAGGCUGUGAGGCAUAACUGUGGAGAUGUGGAGAUAUGCUUCUCAGCUUGCCCGUCUUUUCUUCAGGGUGAUGUACCCGACUUAAACACAAGCAAACAGCAUGUCCAACUGGGCAGUCAUCAGGGACCUGUCAUCUCAGUUGACCUCAGCAGUCUUGCUAUAGAACCUGCAGACCUACAGGACAAUAGCAUGUACAACAUGUCUACCUUUCUCACACUCCGGUCUCUGUAAGUAAUAAGCACACAAUUUGCUUUAUGGGCAGAAAGCAGCUAUAAUCCAGAAGAGGAGUGAGUUUUGCUUUGGCAUAACAGUAUUGAGUCCAAAGUGCAGAAUUCUGGUACACAGCUACAUGUAAAUUACUGUGAUCGCUGCAUCGCAUAUCACGCCUGGAUUCCCUACUUCCCCAGUCAUCUCUGAUCACAGAAUGGCCUGAGUUGGAAGAAUCAUGAAGCUCCAACCCCCCUGCCAUAUGCAGGGCCACCAAUCUCCCCAUUUAAUACUAGACUAGGCUGCCCAGGGCCCCAUCCAACCUGGUCUUGAACACCUCUAGGGAUGGGGCAUCCACAACCUCUUUAGACAGCCUGUUCCAGCACCUCACCACUCUCGUAGUAAAGAACUUCACUUUCGUAAGCCUUGUGAAGACAGCACCUCAAUUCAGACACCAUUUUUAAUGUAAUUUUACUACUUGGGAAUCUGAGCUGAAAAAAUGUAUUUUCUUGGCUGCUGAAAAGAUGUAAAAGCAAGAAGUUAGGGAUGUGGUAAUCUGUGAAAAUAAAAGUCAGUGCGUGAGAAAAAUACACAAUAAAUACAGCCAGCUGCCACUGGGUGGCUCUCCCUGGAAAGUACAGACAUGUGCCAAUACAACUAAAAUAACCAGACUUCUGUAAUACCUCGGAUUUCUGCAGUUUUUUAUGGAACUUUGUUACAGUAUCAAAAAACCUCUUAGUAGCCCGAGUGGUUUCAAAUUUAUUGUGUUAUUUUGGCAUAUUCUAAAAAAACUACAAAAAGAGGGGAAAAGACUAUCUAUUGCACAAUCCUGUUUGCUAGAUUAAAACUUUUUCUCUGAUAUCUUGAAGCCUCACCACCAGUGAUUAACAGUCAGUAAACCAAGAAGUAGUUUAGCAGCACAAGAUGUGAUUUAGUUUGUUAAACCUAAAAACUCAAUAAAGCUAAAAGAAUCAAUACAAAAUUAGAAUGUGUAUCAUGUGGUAGGCUCUUGUACAGGUAGGCAGUGUUACAGCCUGUUUCUAUUGCCAUUGGAUAUAGCAUGGAAGUUUUACAAUUAACUAAUUCUUAUUUUGGAAUUACACACCUAAUCUUGGUUUAUGAAAGAGUCCAUCCAGACACAGAAGAAAUCUGAUCAGUGGAAAGCCAUAAAGAAAUCAGCAGCUCCCUGCUGAUACUGCAGUGAGCUGGUCCUGUGGAGAGGAAUGAUAUUCUUUGUCCUCAAGGCACAGCAGAUGAAACAAGCUGCUUCUCUCUGCAGCUGGGAAUUGCUGAAGGUUAAGCUUAUUAAAUUUGGAGACCUGCUGAGAAGGGAAUGAAGAGCUCACCCAAAGGCAAAAAGUCAGAAAAAGGUUCUUGGGAGAAGAAAGCCAAGGGGAAGAGAGAAUGGCAGGCUGCACCCUGCUCUGGUAACAUUGGCAAAACAAUGUCAGCAUCCUCUUCUAGGACUGUGUUGUUGGCUGCAGGAGUCUCCACUUCAGACACUGCACUGUACAAAAUAAACAUCAUAUAUUGAAUAAAAAGUGGAAAUACAUCCCAAGCAGACAAAGAGGUUCCUGAUAUGUCUUACCAGGGAUCUAAUUCUGAUGCCUUUCUGAUACAUAGGGUAUAACUGCUUAAUUAAGUGAGCAGAUAGGAGUAACCAUUUUGGACGUGUGAAACAAAGAAUGCAUUGUAAUACACUGUGUUCCAAGAAGCUGGCGUUCCUGCAGUAGGAAAUUAUCUGUCAUUAUGGAAUUGAGAUACAGACCUAAGCUUUUUUUAUUCUGCAGUAGCAUUUAAGUGUAGUGAUCUGGAACAGCUGCUUAAUUUAUUUACAGCCAGAAGUACAUUUGCUACAUGCACUGAGAUUUACAAACAAAGAAUGAUAAUGAAGGUAUAUUUUUCACCUUGUUUCCAGAAAUAUUUAGAUGGUUUUGAGCAUUUAAAGAAGUUUUCAGAGCAUGCAAAGCAUUAAACAAAACUGAAGAAAGAGAACCUGCAAAUCUUGACCUUUUACUUGGGUAAUUUGAAACUCUAAGGACUUACAAAGAAAGAAUGUAUCUUGGGGAAAAAUGAAGGAAAAUAAAAGGCACUGCUGAAUUUCUUCUGUGCAAACUGACUUUUUAAAAAAUGGACUAGUCCAACCACAACACAAAUUCUAUGGAAAGACCAGAACUGACUGAUGUCUUUGAAUCCUAGAAAGCUUAAAAAAUGAUCACGGAGGACUCUGCAAGGUGCAAGCACAACAGGUAUAGCUGCUGAUAGUCCAUUUAGUCAAGUUGGCUGCUGAGAUGGGAAAUAAUAAGCUCCAUUGCUCAAAGAACAGGUACAGUUUGCUUUCUGAACAGCACAAUGCAGUUUCAAGCUGCUCUCUGCUGCUGACUGAAAUGCUCCAAUGUUUGACAGUAUUUACUGUGUACUUCAGUCUCAGUCAGUAUCUGUCUAUCAAUCUGUCUAUACAUUGUGGAUUGCUUUUUAUCCUCUUUUGAAGCCAGAGGUGUAAAUAAAGCUGA